rnacentral:rRNA from 1 species
CGGAGGGUGCAAGCGUUAUCCGGAUUUAUUGGGUUUAAAGGGUCCGCAGGCGGACUUGUAAGUCAGAGGUGAAAGCCGGCAGCUCAACUGUCGAACUGCCUUUGAUACUGCAAGUCUUGAGUGAGGUUGAAGUAGCUAGAAUGAGUAGUGUAGCGGUGAAAUGCAUAGAUAUUACUCAGAAUACCAAUUGCGAAGGCAGGUUACUAAGUCUUAACUGACGCUGAGGGACGAAAGCGUGGGGAGCGAACAGGAUUAGAUACCCUGGUAGUCCACGCCGUAAACGAUGGAUACUGUCUGUUGGGGAGCAAUUCUCAGUGGAUAAGCGAAAGUGAUAAGUAUCCCACCUGGGGAUACGUUCGCAAGAAUG